CCAAGUUUUACAUAUUCAAUUAAAAUAUCUAAGCUUUCAGGGUUGCUGCUUAAAUUUUUCAGUUUAAUAGUCAGGGGACUGCUAUCAGAGCGUCUAUUGCGUAAUGAAUUCACCCACUAGAGGCAAGAAAGAUUAGAAUAGGAAAAAACAAAGUUAGUGGGUUAGGACCACUAGCAUUGAGUAUGCCAUGUUUAAGAGACAUUAUAAGUAAUUCUCUUUCCUCUCCCUCAAGGAGCUCUGUGGAGGUGCUUCUCUGAAAGACACGGCACCUGCUGUCAUCACAGUGUAUUCCUGCCUUCAAAUAAGAUUGCUUUCCAGAAGGAAAAUCAAGCCAUGUGCAUUAAGCAGCUAAAUGCAUAGACAGAGCAAAGUGUGCUGUUUGGUUCCUUUUCCCCUGAGACUCAGGCUGCAACAACAUCAGCCAUUUUGCCCAAAGAAGAUGCCAGUGAAAGGACCCGCUUCGCAGCAGCUCCUGCAUUCAGGCCAAAAAGCCCGGUUGAAACCCAACCAGCCUUGGCACCUCGGGGGGCAACACUGGGGUAGUCCUGCUCCUGGCCAGGGCAUCAGUCAGGUCCUUCCUCCUGCCCACCCAGAGCCAGGACUGCCAUUCGCAUUGCUCCCUGCUGUCACCUGAGAUACUGGAAAAGUAACUCUGUGAGUUUGUAACAACAAUCCAGAGACAACGUGAAAAUUACUUUGUAUGGGAAUAUGUGGAAGAACGUCGAGGAGAUAGGUGAUGGAAGCUAGCCACACCGAUCUAUGGGAAAAGGAGCAUCAACAGGCAUGUUGACUCGCAGUCACGCAGCUGAGCCUGUGCCAGUGUGGUGCUACACCUGGGCUUUGAAUCGGAAGUAGCGAUGAGCUCAAGAUGCUUACUGCGCAUGUGUAUAGUACAUAAAAAAAACCUCAUAUAGUGCUCCCCUGCAGUGUUCCUCAAUGUGGACCGAUGCUCAGCGGUGCCAGGGACUCUCCCGCUCCAUUAUUGUCUUGAUCGGGAAAUCACUGGGGAACGCCUGCUCAGAUGCAGGGGUAAUAAACACUCAGUAUCGACCCUAGUGUGCCUUGUG
rnacentral:lncRNA from 1 species